rnacentral:lncRNA from 1 species
UAGAUGGAAAGAGGAGGAGGAGAAUGGUAUAAUUAUUCCUUAAAGAGUGCAUUUUUAUGUAAAAAGUAUAAUUUUUAUUUUAAAAGAUUUAGUUUACAUCUCAAAUAAUGUAGCUUAUAUUUAUAACAGUAUAACGUUUUUCUAAACGGUGCAACUUCAUUUUCUUUUUUCUUUUUCUCUAGUUGUUCUUCUUUAUUCUUUAGUUUUUUGUCUUUAGUUAAUUUUUUUAUUUUAAGCAAAUAAAAGUGCUUGAUCAGAGAUACUGCAGUGGAGGUGGAGGGCGAAGAGAAAUUGGGUGCAGAAGAAGCACAAGGAAGCGGAAGGAAAAGAGUAGGAGGAGAAGUAGUGUAACUAUCUCCCAAAGAAUACAAUUUUCGUUUAAAGAGUGCAUUUUUAUGUAAAAAGUAUAAUUUUUAUUUUAAAAGAUUCAGUUUACAUCUCAAACAAUGUAACUUAUAUUUAUAACAGUAUAACGUUCUUCUAAACAGUGCAACUUUAUUUUCUUUUUUCUUUUUCUCUAGUUGUUCUUCUUUAUUCUUUAGUUUUUAGUCUUUAGUUAAUUUUUUAAAUUUAAGCAAAUAAAAGUGCUUGAUCAGAGAUACUGCAGUGGAGGUGGAGGGCGAAGAGAAAUUGGGUGUAGAAGAAGCACAAGAAAGCGGAAGGAAAAGAGAAAGAGAAGUAGUGUAACCACCUCCCAAAGAAUAUAAUUUUUGUUUAAAAAAUAUAACUUUCAUCAUAAAAUGUGUACUUUAUAUAUCAAAGAGUACAACUUACAUCUACAACAAUGCAACAUUUUUUUUAAAACAGUGCAAUUUCAUCUUAACAUUGCAACUUUAUCUUUAUCUUCUUCUUCUCUGGUUAUUAUUUCUUAUUUUCUAGUUUUUUACCUUUAAUUAAUUUUU